rnacentral:rRNA from 1 species
AAGACCGGGCGACGUGUCUGAGUCGCAUGGCUUGGACACCAAAAGGACAACCGCCCCGGGAGGGGCCCGCGUGGUAUUAGCUAGUUGGUGGGGUAAUGGCCUACCAAGGCUUAGAUGCCUAGCAGGCGUGAGAGCGUGGCCUGCGCCACUGGCACUGAGACACUGGCCAGACUCCUACGGGAGGCUGCAGUCGAGGAUCUUCGGCAAUGGGCGCGAGCCUGACCGAGCGACGCCGCGUGCGCGACGAAGGCCUUCGGGUUGUAAAGCGCUGUCGGGGGGGAGGAAAGCCCGCAAGGGUCUGACCCACCCCCGGAGGAAGCACGGGCUAAGUUCGUGCCAGCAGCCGCGGUAAGACGAACCGUGCGAACGUUGUUCGGAAUCACUGGGCUUAAAGGGCGCGUAGGCGGGCCAUCAGGUCCGUGGUGAAAGCUUCCGGCUUAACCGGAAUAACGCCGCGGAUACCGGUGGUCUGGAGGCGGGCAGGGGCGCGUGGAACUCCCGGUGGAGCGGUGAAAUGUGUUGAGAUCGGGAGGAACGCCGGCGGCGAAAGCGGCGCGCUGGGCCCGUCCUGACGCUGAGGCGCGAAAGCCAGGGGAGCGAACGGGAUUAGAUACCCCGGUAGUCCUGGCCCUAAACGAUGGGUACCGGGUAGGGGGCCGGCAUGGGCUCCCUGCCGGAGCGAAAGCGUUCA